UUGGAGACAGCAUUUCUUGCUGCAGGGAUAGCAUAGUCAGGGUACUUGGUUGUCAGGGUUGCUGCUGUUUCAGCAGCCAAGAGUAUCCAGUUCUACAGUAGUAACCCCACUCUACAGGCCUUGGAUCACUUUCAUGGUGAUUGCAGCAGGGCUGACGAAGUCCAAAUUGAGACCGUAACAUAGUUUCUGGAUCUGGGACGUGAUCUUGUUAAACAUGACGUGCUCAUGGCGUCCAUCUCUUUUGACUGUGUGCAUGGCUGUGGCGUUCUCCUCCUUCUCCUCUCAUCCAUUUCUUCUCUGUGAGAGAAAAAGAGCCCCUGAAAGGUAAACAAUAAUCAUUGCCAAGCUGGAGAGAGAAGGGAGCAAGUAGGCCGCAGCCUCUUGAGACCAGGUUCUGGCUCCUGUGUAAGGCUCAGGCAACACAGCUGAGCUCCACUGUAUGAUUAAUCCUUGUAUUUAAUACAGCAGCAAUCAACCUUGUUUGCACUGUUGGAAAGGGAAAUGCACCGCUGACCACUCUGCUAUGGUUGGCUCAGCUCCCAAGAAUCUGCAAGACGAGGCUGAUGGAAUGAGAGGCCAUUUUGCUGUUGAUGCAGAAAGCACAGGUGGAGAAUCUCCAUUUUGCAUCAAGUGAGAGUAGCCGCCCAGGUGGAAGGGCAAGAGGUGGCAAGGUAAGCUUGUUCAAACAUACAAAAACCAAACACCUUUCCAUGUUUUCACCAAACUUUGGUUUGGGACUGUUGAAUUUUGCAACAGAAUCUGCAUCCCAGAUGGUUAGAAGUGCUACAUGUAAAAGAAGUAGGGCAGGCUACAUUUCAAAACAGAGCUGCCAGUAAGUAGGGGUGGAAUACUGUGCAGACCCUCACCUUUUAAAUAUUAUCAACACAUUUUAAAAUAUUCAUAAUCAAAAUCAGCUCCUUUUAAAAAAGGAAAAGGACAAAAGAAAGGACAAACAAAC